CCUACGGGGGGCAGCAGUGGGGGAUAUUGCACAAUGGGGGGAACCUUGAUGCAGCGACGCCGCGUGGGUGAAGGAGUGCUUCGGCAUGUAAAGCCCUAUCGGCAGGGAAGAAGCAAGACGGUACCUGACUACGAAGCCCCGGCUAACUACGUGCCAGCAGCCGCGGUAAUACGUAGGGGGCAAGCGUUAUCCGGAUUUACUGGGUGUAAAGGGAGCGUAGGUGGCAUGGUAAGCCAGAAGUGAAAACCCGGGGCUCAACCCCGCGGAUUGCUUUUGGAACUAUCAGGCUGGAGUGCUGGAGGGGUAAGCGGAAUUCCUAGUGUAGCGGUGAAAUGCGUAGAUAUUAGGAGGAACACCGGUGGCGAAGGCGGCUUACUGGACAGAAACUGACACUGAGGCUCGAAAGCGUGGGGAGCAAACAGGAUUAGAUACCCGAGUAGUC
rnacentral:rRNA from 1 species